UGAAAUAGGUCUGCUAACUAAU
rnacentral:miRNA from 1 species